UGCAAGUCGAACGAUGACGACCGGGCUUGCCUGGUCUGAUUAGUGGCGAACGGGUGAGUAACACGUGAGUAACCUGCCCCUCACUUCGGGAUAACCUCGGGAAAUCGUGGCUAAUACCGGAUAUGAACUUCUACCGCAUGGUGGUUGUUGGAAAGUUUUUCGGUGGGGGAUGGACUCGCGGCCUAUCAGUUUGUUGGUGAGGUAAUGGCUCACCAAGACGAUGACGGGUAGCCGGCCUGAGAGGGCGACCGGCCACACUGGGACUGAGACACGGCCCAGACUCCUACGGGAGGCAGCAGUGGGGAAUAUUGCACAAUGGGCGAAAGCCUGAUGCAGCGACGCAGCGUGAGGGAUGACUGCCUUCGGGUUGUAAACCUCUUUCAGUAGGGAAGAAGCGAAAGUGACGGUACCUGCAGAAGAAGCGCCGGCUAACUACGUGCCAGCAGCCGCGGUAAUACGUAGGGCGCAAGCGUUAUCCGGAAUUAUUGGGCGUAAAGAGCUUGUAGGUGGCUUGUCGCGUCUGCCGUGAAAACCCGAGGCUCAACCUCGGGCGUGCGGUGGGUACGGGCAGGCUAGAGUGUGGUAGGGGAGACUGGAACUCCUGGUGUAGCGGUGAAAUGCGCAGAUAUCAGGAAGAACACCGAUGGCGAAGGCAGGUCUCUGGGCCAUUACUGACACUGAGAAGCGAAAGCAUGGGUAGCGAACAGGAUUAGAUACCCUGGUAGUCCAUGCCGUAAACGUUGGGCACUAGAUGUGGGGGACAUUCCACGUUUUCCGCGUCGUAGCUAACGCAUUAAGUGCCCCGCCUUCGGGCGUGCGGUGGGUACGGGCAGGCUAGAGUGUGGUAGGGGAGACUGGAACUCCUGGUGUAGCGGUGAAAUGCGCAGAUAUCAGGAAGAACACCGAUGGCGAAGGCAGGUCUCUGGGCCAUUACUGACACUGAGAAGCGAAAGCAUGGGUAGCGAACAGGAUUAGAUACCCUGGUAGUCCAUGCCGUAAACGUUGGGCACUAGAUGUGGGGGACAUUCCACGUUUUCCGCGUCGUAGCUAACGCAUUAAGUGCCCCGCCUGGGGAGUACGGCCGCAAGGCUAAAACUCAAAGGAAUUGACGGGGGCCCGCACAAGCGGCGGAGCAUGCUGAUUAAUUCGAUGCAACGCGAAGAACCUUACCAAGGCUUGACAUGGACCGGACGGCUGCAGAAAUGUGGCUUUCUUCGGACUGGUUCACAGGUGGUGCAUGGUUGUCGUCAGCUCGUGUCGUGAGAUGUUGGGUUAAGUCCCGCAACGAGCGCAACCCUCGUUCUAUGUUGCCAGCGCGUUAUGGCGGGGACUCAUAGGAGACUGCCGGGGUCAACUCGGAGGAAGGUGGGGACGACGUCAAAUCAUCAUGCCCCUUAUGUCUUGGGCUUCAAGCAUGCUACAAUGGUCGGUACAAUGGGUUGCGAA
rnacentral:rRNA from 1 species